rnacentral:rRNA from 2 species
UUAAGCGACUAAGCGUACACGGUGGAUGCCCUGGCAGUCAGAGGCGAUGAAGGACGUGCUAAUCUGCGAAAAGCGUCGGUAAGGUGAUAUGAACCGUUACAGCCGGCGAUGUCCGAAUGGGGAAACCCAGUGCAAUUCGUUGCACUAUCGUUAACUGAAUACAUAGGUUAACGAGGCGAACCGGGGGAACUGAAACAUCUAAGUACCCCGAGGAAAAGAAAUCAACCGAGAUUCCCCCAGUAGCGGCGAGCGAACGGGGAGCAGCCCAGAGUCUGAAUCAGCUUGUGUGUUAGUGGAACGGUCUGGAAAGUCCGACGGUACAGGGUGAUAGUCCCGUACACCAAAAUGCACAGGUUGUGAACUCGAAGAGUAGGGCGGGACACGUGGUAUCCUGUCUGAAUAUGGGGGGACCAUCCUCCAAGGCUAAAUACUCCUGACUGACCGAUAGUGAACCAGUACCGUGAGGGAAAGGCGAAAAGAACCCCGGCGAGGGGAGUGAAAAAGAACCUGAAACCGUGUACGUACAAGCAGUGGGAGCACCUUCGGGUGUGACUGCGUACCUUUUGUAUAAUGGGUCAGCGACUUAUAUUCUGUAGCAAGGUUAACCGUAUAGGGGAGCCGCAGGGAAACCGAGUCUUAACUGGGCGUUAAGUUGCAGGGUAUAGACCCGAAACCCGGUGAUCUAGCCAUGGGCAGGUUGAAGGUUGGGUAACACUAACUGGAGGACCGAACCGACUAAUGUUGAAAAAUUAGCGGAUGACUUGUGGCUGGGGGUGAAAGGCCAAUCAAACCGGGAGAUAGCUGGUUCUCCCCGAAAGCUAUUUAGGUAGCGCCUCGUGAACUCAUCUUCGGGGGUAGAGCACUGUUUCGGCUAGGGGGUCAUCCCGACUUACCAACCCGAUGCAAACUACGAAUACCGAAGAAUGUUAUCACGGGAGACACACGGCGGGUGCUAACGUCCGUCGUGAAGAGGGAAACAACCCAGACCGCCAGCUAAGGUCCCAAAGUCAUGGUUAAGUGGGAAACGAUGUGGGAAGGCACAGACAGCCAGGAUGUUGGCUUAGAAGCAGCCAUCAUUUAAAGAAAGCGUAAUAGCUCACUGGUCGAGUCGGCCUGCGCGGAAGAUGUAACGGGGCUAAACCAUGCACCGAAGCUGCGGCAGCGACACUAUGUGUUGUUGGGUAGGGGAGCGUUCUGUAAGCCUGCGAAGGUGUGCUGUGAGGCAUGCUGGAGGUAUCAGAAGUGCGAAUGCUGACAUAAGUAACGAUAAAGCGGGUGAAAAGCCCGCUCGCCGGAAGACCAAGGGUUCCUGUCCAACGUUAAUCGGGGCAGGGUGAGUCGACCCCUAAGGCGAGGCCGAAAGGCGUAGUCGAUGGGAAACAGGUUAAUAUUCCUGUACUUGGUGUUACUGCGAAGGGGGGACGGAGAAGGCUAUGUUAGCCGGGCGACGGUUGUCCCGGUUUAAGCAUGUAGGCUGGUUAUCCAGGCAAAUCCGGAUAAUCAAGGCUGAGGUGUGAUGACGAGGCACUACGGUGCUGAAGUAACAAAUGCCCUGCUUCCAGGAAAAGCCUCUAAGCAUCAGGUAACAUCAAAUCGUACCCCAAACCGACACAGGUGGUCAGGUAGAGAAUACCAAGGCGCUUGAGAGAACUCGGGUGAAGGAACUAGGCAAAAUGGUGCCGUAACUUCGGGAGAAGGCACGCUGGUGUGUAGGUGAAGUCCCUGCGGAUGGAGCUGAGACCAGUCGAAGAUACCAGCUGGCUGCAACUGUUUAUUAAAAACACAGCACUGUGCAAACACGAAAGUGGACGUAUACGGUGUGACGCCUGCCCGGUGCCGGAAGGUUAAUUGAUGGGGUUAUCCGUAAGGAGAAGCUCUUGAUCGAAGCCCCGGUAAACGGCGGCCGUAACUAUAACGGUCCUAAGGUAGCGAAAUUCCUUGUCGGGUAAGUUCCGACCUGCACGAAUGGCGUAAUGAUGGCCAGGCUGUCUCCACCCGAGACUCAGUGAAAUUGAACUCGCUGUGAAGAUGCAGUGUACCCGCGGCAAGACGGAAAGACCCCGUGAACCUUUACUAUAGCUUGACACUGAACAUUGAGCCUUGAUGUGUAGGAUAGGUGGGAGGCUUUGAAGCGUGGACGCCAGUCUGCGUGGAGCCAACCUUGAAAUACCACCCUUUAAUGUUUGAUGUUCUAACGUUGGCCCCUGACCGGGGUUGCGGACAGUGUCUGGUGGGUAGUUUGACUGGGGCGGUCUCCUCCCAAAGCGUAACGGAGGAGCACGAAGGUUAGCUAAUCCUGGUCGGACAUCAGGAGGUUAGUGCAAUGGCAUAAGCUAGCUUGACUGCGAGCGUGACGGCGCGAGCAGGUGCGAAAGCAGGUCAUAGUGAUCCGGUGGUUCUGAAUGGAAGGGCCAUCGCUCAACGGAUAAAAGGUACUCCGGGGAUAACAGGCUGAUACCGCCCAAGAGUUCAUAUCGACGGCGGUGUUUGGCACCUCGAUGUCGGCUCAUCACAUCCUGGGGCUGAAGUAGGUCCCAAGGGUAUGGCUGUUCGCCAUUUAAAGUGGUACGCGAGCUGGGUUUAGAACGUCGUGAGACAGUUCGGUCCCUAUCUGCCGUGGGCGCUGGAGAAUUGAGGGGGGCUGCUCCUAGUACGAGAGGACCGGAGUGGACGCAUCACUGGUGUUCGGGUUGUCAUGCCAAUGGCACUGCCCGGUAGCUAAAUGCGGAAGAGAUAAGUGCUGAAAGCAUCUAAGCACGAAACUUGCCCCGAGAUGAGUUCUCCCUGAGACUUUAAGUCUCCUGAAGGAACGUUAAAGACGAUGACGUUGAUAGGCCGGGUGUGUAAGCGCAGCGAUGCGUUGAGCUAACCGGUACUAAUGAACCGUGAGGCUUAACCUU